rnacentral:sRNA from 1 species
UAAGACCUUUCGAUUUGGCAGCAGUUGUAGCAGUCAUCGCGAAUGUGAAACGAGAUUCCAAAAAGUUAGUUGAAUAUAAAAAAGGACACACCAAAACACACACAGAGACAGGAACAUAUUAAUAUGAAUAUUGUGCAAUUACAUUAUGCAUGCGAGUGCAAUGGGAAUGGAAAGGAAGAAUACACAAAUAUUCUAUGGUACAAUAAUAUAAACUAUUGGAUGGUACAGCUAGCGAAAUCAUAAUGAAUUGGUGUAUACAUUUACACACACACACACAUUCAUGCUUCGCAUUCUAUCGCAAUCUAACAGUAUGAAAACAUUAAGGAACGACGGAAUGGAACAUUUUGAUUAGACGCGAAGUUGGCUGCGCUACUAAUUGAGAUCGAAAAGCGCUUAAAUCUAUUCAUUUCAUUUAACUUAAUUA